UAAUUGGACUUUCUGGGCGGUCUCUUUUUGUGCCUUUUGCUCUCUCCACGUUACUACCAGAUCCACAUGUGGCUCCUCCCAGCAUUCUUAAAAAACAAACAUUGAACGUAUUGAGAAAGAGAGAGAAAGCGAAGCUAGAAUAAAGAGAGAAGGGCGAUCGGGAUCCUUGCCUGGUGCCAAUCGGCCAUAACUUCCGGCCGUCUGCUAGGUUAUUGUGGUACGUCUGGCUUGGUUUUCUCCAGGUCGCCGGACCUGGAGCAAAAGAGGGCUGAGGCAAAGAAGGUGGUUUCACGGCGGUGGUUGUUGUCAUCGUCUUUGACUUGAACCAGUUUCGCUGAUAUUGGCCAGGCCAAGUGUUGUGAGGACUCACCACUUCAUAGUCGAUUGAACUUGACUCUGAUUGAUCGAUUUUUUUUACUGGAUCGGUAUGCUCUAGUCCACUCCUAAAUCCUUUAUCUCGCUGUAGCAUCUCAUCGUCCAUUUUCUUGAUUGAUUCUUCUCAGACUUCGUGCAAAUAAACACAUGUUAGAGCUCUCAUAAAAUCGUCCAAAGAUGAGGCUUACAAACUUGCUGAAGAUACUAAGGCAAAAGGUUGGAUUAGCAAGCAAUUUCAAUUAGGGUGUUGGAUGGCGAGGAAAGUGUCUACCGAUGUUGAUUACCGUCUUGCAUCGGAGCACCGGUACCCUGUGAAAUAUAAUGAUUUCUUUCAUGUGCUCAACUUUCUUGAUGUUGAAGAGAGUUGGCCUAAAUCGUUACUGGAAAAUGCUAAUCUUUCACGUUGUAUUCUCGCCAGAGAUGCCGGGGAUAGCGCUGCAAGAAAACAGAUGCAAAACAAAAUUGAACCUUGGCAGGACGGGUCAAUUUGGGUUGUGUUUAUUUCAAAUAGAUCAAAUAUAAAUUUAGCUAAAAGAUGUGUGAUAGAUGUGGGAAGUUGUUGUUGAGCAUGUUACAAGAUGUGUGACAAAUGACAACAAGUUAUACUUGUAUUGCCCUCAAUUUUAGAAAAAAGACAGUGUUGUGUUUAAUGUUGUGGGAUAAGAUCUUGGACUUCUUUCAGAUUGCAAGUAUGUUGUUUUCGACAAGCUCUCGGAAACCGAAAAGGCUAGCUUCUCAGUUAAUUAAUAAUUUUCUGAUUAAAAAAGUGUUUUCGACCUCCUGUACUUAUAAAUGGGCCGAUUUGGGUUAUGUCUCUAAUGGGUCAAA